rnacentral:tRNA from 1 species
CCCUUCGUGGUGUAGUGGUCAGCACACUCGACGCUUAACCGAAUGGUCCGUGGUUAGAUUCCCAGCGAAGGCG